UACGUAGGGUGCGAGCGUUUGUCCGGAAUUAUUGGGCGUAAAGGGCUCGUAGGCGGUUUGUCGCGUCGGGAGUGAAAACCUUGGGCUUAACUCAGGGCUUGCUUUCGAUACGGGCAGACUAGAGGUAUGCAGGGGAGAACGGAAUUCCUGGUGUAGCGGUGAAAUGCGCAGAUAUCAGGAGGAACACCGGUGGCGAAGGCGGUUCUCUGGGCAUGAUCUGACGCUGAGGAGCGAAAGUGUGGGGAGCGAACAGG
rnacentral:rRNA from 1 species